GCAGUGGUAGUUCAGUGAUAGAAUUCUUGUCUUCCACGUGGAGGCCAGGGUUUGAUUCCCAGCCAAUGCA
rnacentral:tRNA from 1 species